GACGGAGGAUGCAAGCGUUAUCCGGAAUGAUUGGGCGUAAAGCGUCCGCAGGUGGCAGUUUAAGUCUGCUGUCAAAGACCGGGGCUUAACUUCGGAAAGGCAGUGGAAACUGAACAGCUAGAGUAUGGUAGGGGCAGAGGGAAUUCCUGGUGUAGCGGUGAAAUGCGUAGAGAUCAGGAAGAACAUCGGUGGCGAAGGCGCUCUGCUGGACCAUAACUGACACUCAGGGACGAAAGCUAGGGGAGCGAAUGGG
rnacentral:rRNA from 1 species